UAGUGGCGAACGGGUGAGUAACACGUGGGCAAUCUGCCCUGCACUCUGGGACAAGCCCUGGAAACGGGGUCUAAUACCGGAUAUGACCACCGGCCGCAUGGUCUGGUGGUGGAAAGCUCCGGCGGUGCAGGAUGAGCCCGCGGCCUAUCAGCUUGUUGGUGGGGUGAUGGCCUACCAAGGCGACGACGGGUAGCCGGCCUGAGAGGGCGACCGGCCACACUGGGACUGAGACACGGCCCAGACUCCUACGGGAGGCAGCAGUGGGGAAUAUUGCACAAUGGGCGCAAGCCUGAUGCAGCGACGCCGCGUGAGGGAUGACGGCCUUCGGGUUGUAAACCUCUUUCAGCAGGGAAGAAGCGCGAGUGACGGUACCUGCAGAAGAAGCACCGGCUAACUACGUGCCAGCAGCCGCGGUAAUACGUAGGGUGCGAGCGUUGUCCGGAAUUAUUGGGCGUAAAGAGCUCGUAGGCGGCCUGUCGCGUCGGAUGUGAAAGCCCGGGGCUUAACCCCGGGUCUGCAUUCGAUACGGGCAGGCUAGAGUUCGGCAGGGGAGAUUGGAAUUCCU
rnacentral:rRNA from 2 species